CCAUGGUCACAAAUUGUUAAAGUGGAGCUGUAAUUUGUAGCAUUUGCAAUACAUCAUUUAAAUAACUUCACCACAGCUUCAACCCUCAGACCCUUUGUUUUCUCUCAUGUAUGUUCAAUAGUAUGGGAAAAUAAAUACCUGUCAUACCAAAGGACACUAAACUAGUUAAAGAACAGGUAGCUCUGUCAAGAGAUCCUGAAAACAGAGUUAACCGGAAACAAGAUCUUCAGCAACUCUUAGCUCCAAGCAAAAUAUGAAAUAUGAAUAAAAAUAUGCAAGAAGAAUGAAUUCAGACCCUCCCAAAUGAACUUCGCCACCACAAGUGUAGGACUGAAGUGGACAAGCAAAACAAACAGAAGUCAGCAGCUGAGGGAUGGUGCUGAAGGAAUUCAAUAUGCAGUAUCAAGGUGCAUGCUAAACAUAAAGCAACAGGCCUUCUGCCAAUGCAAACAUCAAACAGUCAAAAAGCACUGUUGUUGUUAUGUGCCUCCAAGUCGACUGUGACUUAUGGCGACCCUAUGAAUCAGAGACCUCCAAGAGCAUCUGUCAUGAACCACCCUGUUCAGAUCUUCUAAGUUCAGGAACUGGUUUGAGAAAAACUGAUGUCACAAAGAGCUUGAAAAUUUAAAGUAAAUCCUUGAAGAAUGCACAGAUCUCCCUGCAUACUUCUCUCACUGACUGCUAGAAACGAAAUCCUUCAUUAUUUACAUAGAUGAGAAACACACAAAUUGUGGCAUCAAGAGGGAUAUAUUUAUAUUGAAGAUAGCAUAUCAAUUCUUAAAUACUAAGUAAUAAUUUAAAAGGUCUACAUAGUGGACAAGUGAAAUUGUCACAUAGAUAUGCCUGUUCUAGAUCAAUUACAAAGAAACAAUCCAGCCUAAAGAUGACAUUUUCCUAUUGAGAUGGAUCUAUUACCAUUUUAUGUCUCUGGAAUUAAUGGAUUUAAAGAGCAGCAUUAGAGGGAUGAGGGCCUUUUCAAUGGUGGCACUGCAACUGUGGGACACACUUCCCAAACAGGAGCUGAUUCAUGAUAAGUGAGCAUUCUUGCAUCAGGGUAUUUGAUGGUUGAAGAGGACUGCUCCUGGCAACUCGAAGAUCACUGGUGGAAGAAUGGAUGGGAAGAAACAGGCUGAAGCUCAAUCCUGAUAAGACUGAGGUGCUACUUGUGGGUGACAGGGGAAGGUUGAGUGUUGCUGACCUGAAUCUUAAUGGGGUAAAAUUACCCCUGAAGGAUCAGGUCCGCAGCCUCGGGGUUGUUCUUGAUUCCAAGCUGUCCAUGGAGGCUCAGAUUUCAGCAGUGAGCCGGGCAGCUUGGUAUCAACUAUACCUCAUACGGAGGUUGCAACCCUACCUUCCUAUUCAUCAGCUCCCACAGGUGGUACAUGCCCUGGUCACCUCUCGAUUAGACUACUGCAAUGCACUCUACGUGGGGUUACCCUUGAAAACGGUCCGGAAACUACAACUGGUGCAGAAUGCAGUGGCACGCCUGCUUACAAACAGCCGCCGCCGUGAUCACAUCACGCCGGUGUUAUUUCAUCUACAUUGGCUUCCAGUUGUUUUCCGGGCCCAAUUCAAGGUGUUGGUCUUAACCUUUAAAUCCCUAUACGGUCUCGGCCCAGUUUACCUGAAGGAGCACCUCCAGUACCACCAACUAAGCCGCCCGACCAGAUCAGCCACACAGGGCCUUCUCUCCGUCCCACCAACGAAAACAGCUAGGUUGGUGGGGACUAGAGAGAGGGCAUUCUCAGUGGCGGCCCCCACUCUCUGGAACUCCCUCCCGUUCGAUCUUCGCCAUGCCCCUUCCCUGGAUACAUUUCGCCGAGCCUUAAAAACAUGGCUCUUUGGGACAGGCCUUUGGGGUCCCCGGGGUGGGCUAAUUUCUUUAUAUUGUUUUAAAAUUGUCUAUUGAUGGCCCUGUACUGCCGCUUUUUAAAAUGGUUAUUGUUGACUGCACUGUAUUUUAUUAUGUAUCUAUAUUGUAUUGUUGAAUUUUAAUGUUGUACGUCGCCUAGAGUGGUUUCGGCCAGAUAGGCGACACAAAAAUUAAAUUUAUUAUUAUUAUUAUUAUUGAGAAUAUUUUCAAUUGUACAUGCAUUUAAAAUGUUUUGUGAUUUCAGAAUGCUUUAAAAUGCUUUUUCCUCCCCUUUGUUAAA